AUUGAACGCUGGCGGAAUGCUUUACACAUGCAAGUCGAACGGCAGCACGGGAGCUUGCUCCUGGUGGCGAGUGGCGAACGGGUGAGUAACAUAUCGGAACGUAUCCAAUAAUGGGGGAUAACUAAGCGAAAGCUUGGCUAAUACAGCAUACGCCCGGAGGGGGAAAGCUAGGGAUCUUCGGACCUGGCGUUAAUGGAGCGGCCGAUAUCUGAUUAGCUAGUUGGUGAGGUAAAAGCUCACCAAGGCGACGAUCAGUAGCUGGGCUGAGAGGACGACCAGCCACACUGGAACUGAGACACGGUCCAGACUCCUACGGGAGGCAGCAGUGGGGAAUUUUGGACAAUGGGCGCAAGCCUGAUCCAGCCAUUCCGCGUGAGUGAAGAAGGCCUUCGGGUUGUAGAGCUCUUUCGCAAGGGAAGAAAGAUUACGCUCUAACAUAGCGUGAUUAUGACGGUACCUUGAUAAGAAGCACCGGCUAACUACGUGCCAGCCGCCGCAGUAAUAC
rnacentral:rRNA from 1 species